rnacentral:rRNA from 1 species
AUGUGGUUUAAUUCGAAGCAACGCGAAGAACCUUACCAGGUCUUGACAUCCCUGACAACCCAAGAGAUUGGGCGUCCCCUUCGGGGGACAGGGUGACAGGUGGUGCAUAGUUGUCGUCAGCUCGUGUCGUGAGAUGUUGGGUUAAGUCCCGCAACGAGCGCAACCCUCGCCUCUAGUUGCCAGCAUUCGGUUGGGCACUCUAGAGGGACUGCCGGCGACAAGUCGGAGGAAGUGGGGAUGACGUCAAAUCAUCAUGCCCCUUAUGACCUGGGCUACACACGUGCUACAAUGGGCGGUACAAAGGGCUGCGAACCCGCGAGGGGGAGCGAAUCCCAAAAAGCCGCUCUCAGUUCGGAUUGCAGGCUGCAACUCGCCUGCAUGAAGUCGGAAUCGCUAGUAAUCGCGGAUCAGCACGCCGCGGUGAAUACGUUCCCGGGCCUU